rnacentral:sRNA from 1 species
AACCAAUAUCCCCUGGCCAUCGGAUACGGCCCGCGACGAACAGUGAUUGCUGUUGGUGCCGCACGUCAUGGUGGUCUUCCCCAACAUGCGGGUGGCCGCUCACAGAGCCGCCUCCAGGGCUUGUUUUGGUAAUGCCUUUCUGCCAUUUAUGGGCUAACCUAGUGGCCUGAGUACAUGACCCGGCGGGUUUGUGCCGGGUCUUUAU